AGAGUUGAUCAUGGCUCAGGAUGAACGCUAGCUACAGGCUUAACACAUGCAAGUCGAGGGGCAGCAUGUGGUUGCUUGCAACCAAUGAUGGCGACCGGCGCACGGGUGAGUAACGCGUAUCCAACCUUCCCCUUAGUAGGGCAUAGCCCGGCGAAAGUCGGAUUAAUACCCUAUGUUCUUCGUAGAUGACAUCUGAAAUGAAGCAAAGGUUUACCGCUAAGGGAUGGGGAUGCGUCUGAUUAGGCAGUCGGCGGGGUAACGGCCCACCGAGCCGACGAUCAGUAGGGGUUCUGAGAGGAAGGUCCCCCCACAUUGGAACUGAGACACGGUCCAAACUCCUACGGGAGGCAGCAGUGAGGAAUAUUGGUCAAUGGGCGCGAGCCUGAACCAGCCAAGUAGCCGUGCAGGAAGACGGCCCUAUGGGUUGUAAACUGCUUUUAUGCGGGGAUAAAGUCGCCCACGUGUGGGUGUUUGUAGGUACCGCAUGAAUAAGGACCGGCUAAUUCCGUGCCAGCAGCCGC
rnacentral:rRNA from 1 species